rnacentral:rRNA from 1 species
CCUANGGGUGGCAGCAGUCGAGAAUUUUUCUCAAUGGGGGAAACCCUGAAGGAGCGACGCCGCGUGAAGGAUGAAGGUCUUCGGAUUGUAAACUUCUGUCAUUUGAGAACAAACUGCACGGAUUAACUGUCUGUGCACUGAUAGUAUCAGAAGAGGAAGAGACGGCUAACUCUGUGCCAGCAGCCGCGGUAAUACAGAGGUCUCGAGCGUUGUUCGGAUUCAUUGGGCGUAAAGGGUGCGUAGGUGGCGGGGUAAGUCGGAUGUGAAAUCCCGGAGCUCAACUCCGGAACUGCAUUCGAUACUGCUUUGCUAGAGUACUGGAGAGGAGAUCGGAAUUUACGGUGUAGCAGUGAAAUGCGUAGAUAUCGUAAGGAAGACCAGUGGCGAAGGCGGAUCUCUGGACAGUUACUGACACUGAGGCACGAAGGCCAGGGGAGCAAACGGGAUUAGAUACCCCGNUANUC